rnacentral:SRP_RNA from 1 species
AGCCGGGUCCUGUGCAACAAAGAAUCAUGAACUCCGCCAGGUCCGGAAGGGAGCAACGGUAAUGACCCUCUUUGUGUGCCACAGGGUGCCCGGCUAUC